CCCAGGCGUGCCAUUCUGGCCACCCGAUCUCCAGGCAGAGCUGCACCCUGUCUGUCCAGGACCAUCCCUUCAAAGGAGAGGUCACGUUCUUCCCGAAUUACCCUUCUGCUCUUUGCUAUUCUCCAACGCAGAUAGAGCUAACUCAAUCCCUUUUUCUGCGCUAAAAACCAAAUUCCAUUUUUUUUUCUCCUUAAGAGUGUGUAUGGGGAAGAAUGGAUGAUAAAUUGCCAAUGAAGUGUUCUCUUUGUCAGCUGUUGAGCAAGGUCCUAACAGAUACCUGUUCCAGAAUGCCUUUGAUAGAAACGUGCAGAGACAAGAUACCCAGCUGCAUCAGGUUGGCCUCAUGGAAGCCUGAGAGGUCAUGAAGGACCUGGCGUUCCCUCGUUGUUCCCGUCUCUUGCCAUCUCCAUCAUCCAGGGCCGGUGGUCCACUUUGAGCUCUCUGUGCUCCUUCCUCUGUCUGCCUCAGGAUGAGGGGCAGGAAUAAAAUAACAUGAAGGAAGGAGGAAGCAAGAGGAAUGAGAGAUCACCAUGGCGGGUGUUCACCUGUGUGGACUGCUAAACUCCACUUCCAUCCAAAGGACUGGAGUCACGGAGAGAUCAGGAAACUGAACAGGAGAACCAGCCCCAGGAGCCUCCUUAACUGAAACACUUAGGAGGGUCUGGUGAAAAGAAGUAAGAUGGAACAGAGUUUGGAAAGGGGUGAAGAAAGAACCAGCACCCAGCACUCUGAGCUUUCGGAUACUUUGUGAGGACAGGACAUUUUUUUUUUUUUUUUAAAGAGAUGGGGUCUCCCUGUGUUACCCAGGCUGGCCUCAAA